UUUGAAAUUCUGGAAUUGAGACA
rnacentral:miRNA from 1 species